rnacentral:rRNA from 1 species
AGUGAACGCUGGCGGUAGGCCUAACACAUGCAAGUCGAACGGCAGCACAGUAAGAGCUUGCUCUUACGGGUGGCGAGUGGCGGACGGGUGAGGAAUACAUCGGAAUCUACUUUUUCGUGGGGGAUAACGUAGGGACACUUACGCUAAUACCGCAUACGACCUACGGGUGAAAGCAGGGGAUCUUCGGACCUUGCGCGAUUGAAUGAGCCGAUGUCGGAUUAGCUAGUUGGCGGGGUAAAGGCCCACCAAGGCGACGAUCCGUAGCUGGUCUGAGAGGAUGAUCAGCCACACUGGAACUGAGACACGGUCCAGACUCCUACGGGAGGCAGCAGUGGGGAAUAUUGGACUAGGGGCGGAAGCCGGAUCCAGCCAUACCGCGUGGGUGAAGAAGGCCUUCGGGUUGUAAAGCCCUUUUGUUGGGAAAGAAAAGCAGCAGGUUAAUACCCCGCUGUGCUGACGGUACCCAAAGAAUAAGCACCGGCUAACUUCGUG